rnacentral:lncRNA from 1 species
GAAGCGAUCUGCAAGAUGAUACUCAAAUACAAGAACCAAUAGAUAUAAAUGAUUCCAUAGAUUAACAUAAACACCUCGCCUGGCCCUUUAGUAACAACGGAACUACAUAUAAAGAUAGCUACUGAAGCAAUCAAAGCGUAGGCGAAUAACGAUAGGUACAUACAAAGGAGAGUAAGUGUGAGUCGCUUCCAAACCUUUGGUACAACUUUCAUGGACUUAGUGUAGGUGACUUCACGCCCAGUGUAAUCCGAUGCUAUCGUGUAGACGAUGCAUGCGGUGGAUAGAACACAUAAGAUGGUGAUGAUGGCCAGAGUGAUGAAUUUGAAGAGGAAGUAGCUGCGCCAGUCGUCUGCGGUGGUAUUUUGGUUGUAAUAUGAUUUGUAACUGUCGAAUGCGCCUAGGAACAGUUGGAAUGGGUUGGGUUCGAUUUGAUCAUAGAAGAAGUAUGAGAAUUGCAUGUGAGCAAUGAAGAUGAGUGUGAGAGGGAGGAUUAGAGAGUGAGAGAUGAUGCUUGAGAAUCCCAUGAACUUCAUCUCUUCCAUUCUUUGAUCCAUGUGGAGUGAAUUUGAAUGUGAAUGUGAAUGUGAAGAAGAUAGAUGAUAGAUGAUAGAUGAUAGAAUUGGAUUGUAGCUAUAUAUAACCAAAUGUUGGAAAAGUGGACUUGGUUGAAAUUUGUUGAAUAAAUUAACCAUGGUUGGGUGUAUUUCAUUAUUGAUUUAUUUCUAACUUUUUUUUUAUU